rnacentral:rRNA from 1 species
GUGUGGAUAGGGGAGAAAUUCCAAUCGAACCCGGAGAUAGCUGGUUCUCCUCGAAAUAGCUUUAGGGCUAGCCUCAUAUUAGUUUAGCGGAGGUAGAGCACUGAAUUCCUAAGGGGGCGUCAAAGCUUACCAAGGGAUAUCAAACUCCGAAUGCCGCAUAAAUGAUGUAUGGGAGUCAGACUGCACGAGAUAAGUUGGGUAGUCAAAAGGGAAAGAGCCCAGACCUACAGCUAAGGUCCCAAAGUGUGUGUUAAGUGGAAAAGGAUGUGGGAUUUCAAAGACAACUAGGAUGUUGGCUCAGAAGCAGCCACACAUUCAAAGAGUGCGUAAUAGCUCACUAGUCGAGAGGUCCUGCGCCGAAAAUGUCCGGGGCUGAAACACAACACCGAAGCUUAGGAAUGUACGUAAGUACAUUGGUAGAGGAGCAUUCUUAAAGGGGUGAAGCAGUACCGAUAAGGAGCUGUGGACUUUUAAGAAGAGAGAAUGCCGGAAUGAGUAGCGAGAUGGAGGUGGGAAUCCUCCAGGCCGAAUAUCCAAGGUUUCCAGAGUAAAGCUGAUCUGCUCUGGGUAAGUCGGGGCCUAAGGCGAGGCUGAGAGGCGUAGUCGAUGGACAACAGGUUGAAAUUCCUGUACCAUGUAUCAUCAGAACUGUGGGGACACAGAAGGACAACACAUCCCGGGAAUGGGAAUACCGGGGCAAGCGAGGUAGGAGUACGGUUGGCAAAUCCGCCGUGCAAUCCGAAGACGUGACGCGCAGCGAACUAAAGUAGCGAAGUGUGUGAUUCCGGCUGUCAAGAAAAGCCGCUAUUGUGUGAUACAUGCCCGUACCGUAAACCGACACAGGUAGAUGAGGAGAGAAUCCUAAGGCCGGCGGGAGAAGCAUUGUUAAGGAACUCGGCAAAAUGACCCCGUAACUUCGGGAGAAGGGGUGCCACAGAGAUGUGGCCGCAGAGAAUAGGCUCAAGCAACUGUUUAGCAAAAACACAGGUCUAUGCAAAACCGUAAGGUGAGGUAUAUGGGCUGACGCCUGCCCGGUGCUGGAAGGUUAAGAGGAGAGGUUAGAGCAAUCGAAGCUUUGAAUUUAAGCCCCAGUAAACGGCGGCCGUAACUAUAACGGUCCUAAGGUAGCGAAAUUCCUUGUCGGGUAAGUUCCGACCC